GACGAACGCUGGCGGUGUGCUUCAAACAUGCAAGUCGAGGGAGGGUUGGCGUCUGGCUUGCCAGACGUUCAACUCUACCGGCGAACGGGUGAGUAACACGUGGGCAACCUGCCCUGAAGUCGGGGACAACCUCGGGAAACCGGGGCUAAUACCCGAUAUCCUCCUCGGGGGCAUCCUCUGGGGAGGAAAGUUCCGCAAGGUUCGCUUCAGGAGGGGCCCGCGGCCUAUCAGCUUGUUGGUGGGGUAACGGCCUACCAAGGCUAUGACGGGUAGCUGGUCUAAGAGGACGAUCAGCCACACUGGGACUGAGACACGGCCCAGACUCCUACAGGAGGCAGCAGUUGGGAAUAUUGGGCAAUGGGCGCAAGCCUGACCCAGCGACACCGCGU
rnacentral:rRNA from 1 species